GGACCUAUAUUGACACGUGGUGCCCAAUCAUUGUUCAUGUGGGCGCCAUGUUAUCAUUUAAUGGCUGAUUUAACAGCAACCUUAACGGAUGUAUGAAAGUGUCCCAAAAUUAUGACUUCGGAUACCACUCUGGGAUGAAAAAACUUGAUGUAUCAAAUGUUGAAAACCAAGAUACUUUAGGGUAGUAAUAACCACGGAGGUGCAUGGGCCUAAUCCAAUGAAUUAUGUUAAUCCAUACUUCUAGUUUAUACAUCACACUUAAAUACUAAUAAUGUUCACGAAUAGAUGAUUAAUUUGAUAUAAAAACAAAUAAUAAAAAUAGUGACGUUAAUGUUGAGAAUAAAAUCUCACAAUGAAGAAAGUUAAGAUUCCACCAUAAAAUCAAUUAAUAAUAUGAGAAGUAUGCUCAACUCCUUAUAAAACCAUACAAAGUUCUUUCCUCAUCAAUGUAAUUUAUUCUCAUCACACUCCCUCACGUGUAGCGAUUUUUCAAGUCAAACGCGUGGUCAACACAAACAAGGUGAAGUGGAUCAUAGCUUUACACGUGGGACAACCUCCUGCUAUGAUACUAUCAAGAAAGUUAGAGUUCCACUAUUAAAUCAAUUGGCAAUAUAAGGAGUAGUCAAACUUACUUAGAAGCCCAUACAAGAUCUAUUUUCUUGUCAAUGUGAUAUUCAUUUUCAACAUUGAAUAAGUGUGGCCUUAUAACAUGGUUCCUGAUUUGAAAAAUUAUUAACACUGCUUACACGCGCCAUGUGGAAACCAAAUGUACACAUUAUUGUUAACGACAAGGCAUUUAUCGGCCAAACCUUGUAAAACCGCGUCAUAAAGCCAUUAGGUUCGCUAAAGUUCACCUA
rnacentral:lncRNA from 1 species